GAAAGGACUGGGCAUGUUUGUGCUGUUCAGUGAUCAGAAAACUUCAUGUUCUUCUGGGUGUUACAGUGAUACACAGUGAUGUACUAAAAGGACAUGAUAUCUAAUAAAGUAGUAAAGAGCAGUUAUGGACUUGACAGCAUGAAACACAGCUGGAGUCUUACAGUAAGCUAUUUCUCUUCAUGGCUGUUUCUCUGUGAAUAUUUUUAUGUCUCUAAUGGGCGUGCCAUGCAAAUGAUAUUCUGCAUUUGAUCCAUUUAUGCUCAUAUAUGUUCAGCUCAACAACAUACCAGCAGUUUGUGUUCAUUUACAACAACAGUAAUCAAUUUAAUUAUUUGAGAUGGGACUAGGCAGAGUUUUUAAUUACUUUGCUCUAGCAAUGUUCAUUCAAUAUUCCUGCAGUCAGACACUAAUCGAGUCUGAUUCAGUGAUCAUCAAACCUGAUCAGUCUCAUAAACUGACCUGCACAGCCUCUGGACUUGACUUUGAUAGCUACUGGAUGGCUUGGAUCAGACAGGCACCUGGAAAAGGGUUGGAAUUUGUUGCAACCAUCUCAGGGGGCAGUGGUAGCAUAUAUUACUCCAGUGCAGUUAAUGGCCGCUUCACCAUCUCCAGAGACAACAGUAAGAAACAGGUGUAUCUGCACAUGAACAGUGUGAGGACAGAAGACACUGCAGUGUAUUACUGUGCCCGACAUACACAGUGAUACUUCUCCUUAGACAUCAGUACAAAAACACAUGCUUGCUAUAGUCACAAAAUCACAUUUUCAUUAGCAGUGUA